GGGGACACUGGAGAAGGCAUCAGCUGAGGACACAGCUGUGGAGAAAGAACAGACUUUGCAGACAGAGAGAUAGAGAAGAAUGUUCCGGUAGCCAUCUGCAGGGGAAACUGUAUUUAUUAAUGGUUACUUUGUAUACUUCCUGUCUCAGUCGCUUUUUCAUUGUUGGGAAGAGACACCAUGGCCAGGGUGAGGCAAACAGAUCUGAAGUGACCCACCCGGGGUCCCAGAUUUAGAAAGGGGUGAAGACUGGUUCACAUGUAACCUCUGAGACACAAGAUCUUGCUCGCUUCUACUCCCUGGCUGCUAAGGAUACUGCAGGAGCAUGCUAUCUGCCAGAGUGAUUGGUGAGACAUACUGAUGCUGGGACAAAGAAUGAUGCUGACCUGUGAGUUUGCUGAGUGCCCGGACAAUGGUGAUAGGAAAGCUGUAUUGGACAUAUGUUCUUGACCAAACUUUGCUUGCCUAUGUCCCAGAUUGGACAAGCUGCCUUGCUUCAAGAUUUUAGACCUUGUGGGACAGAGAACAUGGAGACUGUGGAAACUGACUUAGAAAAAUUAAUCAAAAGGAGAAGU